UACGAAGGGGGCUAGCGUUGUUCGGAAUUACUGGGCGUAAAGGGCUCGUAGGCGGCCAACUAAGUCGGACGUGAAAUCCCCAGGCUCAACCUGGGAACUGCGUCCGAUACUGGAUGGCUUGAAUCCGGGAGAGGGAUGCAGAAUUCCAGGUGUAGCGGUGAAAUGCGUAGAUAUCUGGAGGAAUACCGGUGGCGAAGGCGGCAUCCUGGACCGGCAUUGACGCUGAGGAGCGAAAGCCAGGGGAGCAAAGCGGG
rnacentral:rRNA from 1 species